rnacentral:tRNA from 1 species
GCCGGGGUGGAGGAACGGGCAGACUCGAUGGUCUCAAAAACCAUUGCGCGGAAGCGCGUGCGGGUUCGAAUCCCGCCCCCGGCACCG